rnacentral:rRNA from 1 species
UAGCUAGUUGGUGGGGUAAGGGCCUACCAAGGCGACGAUCGGUAGCUGGUCUGAGAGGAUGACCAGCCACACUGGAACUGAGACACGGUCCAGACUCCCACGGGAGGCAGCAGUGGGGAAUAUUGGACAAUGGGGGCAACCCUGAUCCAGCAAUGCCGCGUGUGUGAAGAAGGCCUGAGGGUUGUAAAGCACUUUCAGUGGGGAGGAGGGUUGAUAGGUUAAGAGCUAAUUAACUGGACGUUACCCACAGAAGAAGCACCGGCUAACUCCGUGCCAGCAGCCGCGGUAAUACGGAGGGUGCGAGCGUUAAUCGGAAUUACUGGGCGUAAAGGGUGCGUAGGUGGUUGAUUAAGUUAUCUGUGAAAUUCCUGGGCUUAACCUGGGACGGUCAGAUAAUACUGGUUGACUCGAGUAUGGGAGAGGGUAGUGGAAUUUCCGGUGUAGCGGUGAAGUGCGUAGAGAUCGGAAGGAACACCAGUGGCGAAGGCGGCUACCUGGCCUAAUACUGACACUGAGGCACGAAAGCGUGGGGAGCAAACAGGAUUAGAUACCCUGGUAGUCCACGCUGUAAACGAUGUCAACUAGCUGUUGGUUAUAUGAAAAUAAUUAGUGGCGC